rnacentral:rRNA from 1 species
UACGUAGGGUGCAAGCGUUAAUCGGAAUUACUGGGCGUAAAGCGUGCGCAGGCGGUUUGUUAAGUCUGCUGUGAAAUCCCCGAGCUCAACUUGGGAAUUGCAGUGGAUACUGGCAAGCUGGAGUACGGUAGAGGAAGGUGGAAUUCCCGGUGUAGCAGUGAAAUGCGUAGAGAUCGGGAGGAACACCAGUGGCGAAGGCGGCCCCCUGGGUCGAUACUGACGCUCAUGCACGAAAGCGUGGGGAGCAAACAGG